rnacentral:lncRNA from 1 species
CCUUGCUUAUGCAAGGCUGCUUGAUCACCUCUCUCCUUCUCUGUCUCAUGCACACACAUGUAUGCACACAGGUACAUGCUUAUGUGGACUUUUAUGUGAUUUAAUCAACAUCUAAUCAUUCUUAGUGUUUUGUUUGCAAGUAAACAAAAUUCUUUAUGUACACAGACUCGUCGGAGGCCAGAAUAUUUUCUACUGGCAAGUCAUCGUCUUAUAUACAGAGAUUUCAUCAUUCCAUUUAUCAAAAAAACUCAGGCUUCUAGCAUUUUCCUUUUUGUUUAGGAACUAUGCUCUGAGCACUUGUCAGAAAUAGUGGAUCAAAGUCAGAGGUAGGUUUUCCACCCCAGGUGUGGCGCAUCCAGCACGUUCUCAGGUACGCCUCCAGUGGCCACACUGUCAUGGCGGCUCUGCCUUCCAACAUGGCUCCCUCCACUGCCCUGCCAACAAGAUCUCUCUGGGAAUGCAAAUGUUUUUUUUCUUUGUAUGUAUGAAAAUGCUGGGAGCCAUUAGCCAAGUAGGUGUGACAAUUUCCUUGCCAGCGUACCCCAUGUUGCAGUGACAUUGAAUGUAGGUGACCUUGCUCAAGGACCAGGGCGGAUUAGGGUGUUCCCGGUUUAGGAUAAUCGGGUUUAGGGCGUUCCAGGUUUAAGAUUUUUCCUGCUGGGAAUAGGGCGUAUCCUGCUGCCUGAGUUCCCCUUGAGUUCUCACGGGAUUCAGACAGUAUUUUUUGGGAGACAGAAGCCCAGUGGUGGUGGAUUUGGGCAGAGAACGUGGAUUUCCCCAGAACGUGUUUGUAGACGGCUGGUGUGAGUUCGGGAAUAAAGAGUUGCUGUUUGAAUCUACAAGCUGUGUGGUGGCUCGUGAUUGUGUGCCCAGCCAGACUGUGGCAUGAAAAGGGCAAGUGCUCCUAGCAGCAGCCACAUACAUGGAAAAUUAUACAUUUGACCUGCUGAAACAUCUCUAUCAGGUAAGAAAAUGUCAGGUAAUUAGAAAUACUGGGAGAGCUCAUGAAAUUUUAUAUGUCUACCUGAUGCAAUUUCCUUUGAAAACUAAUGCUUGAAUUUGAAAGUGUGUUAAAAAUCAAAGCCUGCCUUUCUCUUUCCGGGCAUGCCUCAUGCUGAGCACUGCCACUUAUCUUUCAAAUUUUAAACACUUUGGAGCUUUUCAAAUGAACAAACUUUUAUUUAUCAAUAACUUCAUUAUUUUUAGUCUAUACUAGUGAAAUGAUUCACUUUAAC